rnacentral:rRNA from 1 species
UAACUUCGGGAAACCGGAGCUAAUACCGGAUAAUAUAUUGAACCGCAUGGUUCAAUAGUGAAAAGACGGUUUUGCUGUCACUUAUAGAUGGAUCCGCGCCGCAUUAGCUAGUUGGUAGGGUAACGGCUUACCAAGGCGACGAUGCGUAGCCCGACCCUGAGAGGGUGAUCGGCCACACUGGGAACUGAGACACGGUCCAGACUCCUACGGGAGGCAGCAGUAGGGAAUCUUCCGCAAUGGGCGAAAGCCUGACGGAGCAACGCCGCGUGAGUGAUGAAGGUCUUCGGAUCGUAAAACUCUGUUAUUAGGGAAGAACAAAUGUGUAAGUAACUAUGCACGUCUUGACGGUACCUAAUCAGAAAGCCACGGCUAACUACGUGCCAGCAGCCGCGGUAAU